CUCACCUGGGCCCCACAGAGUGCUGGGAUUACAGGCGUGAGCCACUGUGCCCAGCCCAAUCCAGCUCACUUCUGCUGUCCUCUGUCAGCAGAGACCCAAAGGCCUGCCCAGGUUCGAGGGGAGCAGACAGAGCCCUGGCUCUUGACGGGGAGAGGCAGGGAUGGGGGGCUUGCGGGAUAAGAGAUGGGGUGGUGGUUGUCGUGGGACCCAUCAGCUGCAGGAGGCCUGGGAGAUGGCGCUGCUCUUGCAGGGAACAUCUGGGUCCUGCGGGACAGCUGCUUCUCCAAAGCGGGUGCACGCCCAGAGAUACUGCUCUGCUCACAGGGGUUUGUGCCCGUGCCCUGCCUGCACAGUUUUCUGCAGGCUCUGGAGUAGCAGCCAUGCACACGGUUUCUGCUUCCUCUUUCUUGACAUGCACUAGCCUAGCCUGUGGGUGCCAGGACCCCACAUGCUCUCGGUUCCUCUCUGGAUGAGUGAACCCAGGUGGCCGUAACAGAAGGCCUCAGCCUGGGUGGCUGAGACAACAGACAUUUCCUCACAACUCUGGAGCCUGGAAGUCCGAGAUCACGGUGCUGUGAUGUCAGUGCUGGCUUCCGGUGAAACCCUUCUCCUGGCCUUGCUGCGUCCACCCCGGAGGGUGGGGGGAGCUCCUCCUCCUCCUGGAAGGCCAUGGCCCUGUUGGAUUGGAGCCCACCCUUAUGACCUCGUAAAGACCCCUGAGUGCGCUGAACCCAGCAGGUCCUGCCCUGCCUCCGGCUCCUGAGCUCUCUGCGGCAUCCGCCCCCGACCUCCCAGCCCUCCACCUGCAAGUCCUCGGAAACACACAACUGAAGAGGCUGAAAGAGCUGUGACUCGCCGCCCGCCCCACCAUCUGCUCCUGCCUCCCGGGGCACCCCACCGCUUUGUCCGGAAUCGCCCUGCCUUCCUCCACUGCUCACCACCUCCCCUGCCACCACCAGGCCCAGGGGCCGAAAUCGUUCUACGUGCUCUGCGUCCCUCCUCUCUGGCCUGAGGGCAGUCUGCUCCCAGGGGAGCUGGCAGGGUGCUGGUCAGCCACAGAUGCAAUCCGGCCACGGCUCCCGCCUCCCUGCACGUUACAAACAUGCAGCCAUUUUCCUGCUGUUAGAGUGAAGUUCCGAACCACA